UCCAGACUCCUACGGGAGGCAGCAGUGGGGGAUAUUGCACAAUGGGGGGAACCCUGAUGCAGCGACGCCGCGUGGGUGAAGGAGCGUUUCGGCGCGUAAAGCCCUAUCGGCAGGGAAGAAGGAGGACGGUACCUGACUAAGAAGCCCCGGCUAACUACGUGCCAGCAGCCGCGGUAAUACGUAGGGGGCAAGCGUUAUCCGGAUUUACUGGGUGUAAAGGGGGCGCAGACGGCAGCGCAAGCCAGGAGUGAAAGCCCGGGGCCCAACCCCGGGACUGCGCUUGGAACUGCGCGGCUGGAGUGCAGGAGGGGCAGGCGGAAUUCCUGGUGUAGCGGUGAAAUGCGUAGAUAUCAGGAGGAACAUCGGUGGCGAAGGCGGCCUGCUGGACUGCGACUGACGUUGAGGCCCGAAAGCGUGGGGAGCAAACAGGAUUAGAUACCCCGGUAUG
rnacentral:rRNA from 1 species